GCAUCCGUGGUGUAAUGGUAACAUUCCAGCCUUCCAUCAUGUUAAGCUUGAGCCUCGGGUUCGAUUCCCGACGGAUGCA